rnacentral:lncRNA from 1 species
CUUCUUGUGCCUCUCUCCCACUCUCCUGGAGUUCUCCCAGAACAAUAUGCUGAGAACAUUGAUAAGGUUGGAAUUGCCCAAAGGCCUUGCACCAGGAGCAAAUACUUUGCUCCUAAAGCAGACAUUCAGAUCUGGAAAAUCUGAAAGAGAACAUGGGCAUGAUUCCCUUCAUUUUAAAAAUCAUCUUGAAUCCUGAGGCACAUUUGAAAUGCAAGAUAUGUGAGGUGAAUGGCAGAAAAGAAAAAUACCAGAAGACUGAAUUUCCAAUAAAUCAAAGCAACCGAAUUUCAAUUUACAAUAGUGGAACUCAGGACAUAUUUUUUCCACCAAAACAUCCAACCAAGUAUGAGUGAGUGGCCUGGCCUUAACACAUUGUUUGUUUGAACAACAAUUUGAAGGAAAGUCGAUAUGUUGAUAAUAUAAUAUAGAGUAACUUCAGAAGGCCUUAUAAAGAAUGUGCAGUAGGAAGAAGAAAAUCUGGAACCCUGAGUUAGCCUGGUGGGAAAGUCAGCCUCAGCUGAAGCCUCAACAGGCAGCUUGGAUGCUUCUUGACAUCUACAUUAAG